CCUACGGGAGGCAGCAGUGAGGAAUAUUGGUCAAUGGGCGGGAGCCUGAACCAGCCAAGUCGCGUGAAGGAAGAAGGUACUUAGUAUUGUAAACUUCUUUUGUCGGGGAACAAAGGCGGAGACGCGUCUCCGGAUGAGUGUACCCGAAGAAAAAGCAUCGGCUAACUCCGUGCCAGCAGCCGCGGUAAAACGGAGGAUGCGAGCGUUAUCCGGAUUUAUUGGGUUUAAAGGGUGCGCAGGCGGGAGAUCAAGUCAGCGGUAAAAUGUCGGGGCUAAACCCCGGCCGGCCGUUGAAACUGGGUGUCUAGAGUGGGAGAGAAGUAUGCGGAAUUCGUGGUGUAGCGGUGAAAUGCAUAGAUAUCACGAAGAACUCCGAUUGCGAAGGCAGCAUACCGGCUCCAUACUGACGCUGAGGCACGAAAGCGUGGGGAUCGAACAGGAUUAGAUACCCGAGUAGUC
rnacentral:rRNA from 1 species